ensembl:lncRNA
UUCAUGGGAAAAGAGAAAAACUCUUACUUUUAUUAGCAAUGAAUUUCACAUUGUGAAAAAAAAUACACUUGUACAAAAUGUCAAUGAUUUCCAGUAGACGAAAUGGAAUGUAUACACAAGUAUGAUGGCAUGUCAUUUAAACUGUACAAUGACAAUCUUUUAAUAAUAGUACAUAUUCACCCAGGCAAAAAAAAAUAGAUAAUAUACAUCGUCAAUCAGUUUGCGUGAAGAGGUCUUAGACAAAAACGUCAGGGCCUCAACAAACAUCCAACCAUCAAGAGACACUCCCCAAAAUCUCAAUAGAGAACAACCCUUUGUUGGGCGUAGCUACGGAACCCCUUUUGACCUAAUGGGUGGAACCCCUGUUAUCUAAAGCAGCCAUUCUGAAGUCUUGUCUGAUAGUUGUGAAGUGUUGUCUGAUAGUUGUGGGAAGGUUUGGGGGUGGAUGUCACAUUCCAGGAUGGCGGUGAGUGACAGAAUUCUCGCAGCCACAAUAUUUAAGUUAUUAAACAUACACAACAUAGCACACAAUUAUUUAAAACGUUUUUGCAUCAUAAGACUUAUGAGGAAGAUGAUGGCUUGUGGUUUGGUGUGCAGGUUUCAUGGGUUUCUACAUUCCUGAUAUCCACAACAUGUCAACUGGAUAUCAGGAAUGGACAGAGGUGAGAGACAGAGACACAAAGCUGACACAAACCACAACAAAGAGAUAGAGAAGACAGUAAUACAAACAUUGUCAUGCACCCAACUUAAAUAUUUCCCUAGUGUGUUCAGUGUUUAUUUGGCACAUAUUAUCCUAAUGUAGCAGGUGUUAAAGGAAUGUCAGAGCAGAGUUCCUACAUUGGUUUCUCAGGGGGAAACGCUAGCUAGGUUGAAGAUGACUGUAAACCUGGAAUGUUUCCGUAAUAAUGUAAUGAAGUGUUCAUUAAUUUCUGCCAACUGUCGCACUUUUGUCUUGCAGUGACAGUCGGUGAAGUAAAAGUUCCUACAGUAUCACUUUUGUGUCCUAAUUUCAUUUGGCAAGCCUACAGUGUAUUACAAUCAGAUGGAGGGUAUUUUUCCUAAUUUCUACAAAGAGUGGAGAUGCUCCCAUAUUGGAGGCGUACAUGUGACUCAACCUCAAAAAACUAAAAGAAAAUCUGUUGAAAAGGGCAAGGAAAUGACAGAAAUGAAGCAGAAAAACAAUAAGUUAAAGCACACCCCUUUUAAUACAUUCAGUCUUUGGGGAAAGAUAAACCUUACCUCAUAAAUACAAAAAAAAAAAUCCUAUAAAGAAUAUUUUUCCACAUUAACCUGCUGGAGAUUAUGAGGUACCUGUGUAGUGGUAACAAUGGCUUCCUUACUUUCCUCUUCAGCUGUAGGUCCUUAACUAGAGCGGCUUCUCUAUUACAACAGAGCAAAUUCUGAUCUUUCCAUUGCCCCAUGUGCAUUACUUGCUAGUUCUUUUGCAGUCAGUAUCAAGGACAGUUGAAGUAAAACAAAUAAGUGGAAUCCAAAUUACAUAAUGACUUGAUUACUCCAAAUACUGUCCACAUGGAUCAGUCAUUACAGAAAAAUAAGGAAAUACACAUUUUGGAAUAUAAAGUCCUUAUGAGAUGACAGAGUUUAUAUUCAUCCUUCAUGUAAACACCACUGGUUACCUUAGUAAUCCACCCGUUGACAAUCCUUCAUGGUAAUCGGUUAUGUUUUCUUUUCUUCCUUGCAUUGAACAGCAAUUCUUGCAUCUUCUCAGUCUUGAAUCUUAUACAUAUGAUGAAUAAUCCAUUAGAUGGAUGAGACCUACGAAGACAAAGUCAAAAUAUUGGUCAGGUGAAAAACAGCAGUGGUUUAUGAAGUAAUUGACAUAAUUUAGUUUAGUUACACUAACAUGUUUU